AGGAGAGCCGUUCUGUGACUGU
rnacentral:miRNA from 1 species